UGGGAUAUAUUGGAACAAUCGUAGAUUGAUUGUUCAUACACAAACCAGGUGGGGUUCUGUUUUAUCCUGGUCAGGAUAACCUUGUAUGAUUUAAAAUGUUUUUGUUCUAUUGGCAUGUAAUAAUGGCAUAAGGCUUGGCAAUCAGACUUUGUCUUUAAAAGUUGCUCUGCAGAUUUAAUCCCAUAAUUGCUUUGCUGAUUGGUUCUGUUGUAUGCAGGCUAAUAUUCUCUUGCAAUAAGCUUAAAUUCAACUUUGUGGUGUAAAUGAGUAUUCUUGGAUUACACCAGAUUAGCUUGCAUAGUGUUCAAAUUUGAUUCUGUGUUUUAGUGCUUCAAGUUUUAACUUGCAUAACAAGUUGAGCUGAGUUUUAAGAAAAUGAUACCCAG
rnacentral:lncRNA from 1 species